AGGUUUGCCACAGCAGCGAGCAGACAAAGAGCAGAACAAGGAACCUGGCCCCUCUGCUUCAGUCUUGGCCAGCACCUCUUUACACAUGACAAGCACCAGCCCAGAAACAUGUAUCUAGGGAGAGCAGUAAUUAAGCCAGAAGGGAACAUGCACACUGGGGUCCACAGCCUGAAUGUCUAUGAGAAGCUGGCUGAAAGAGGAUGAGGUAGACAUGCUGAUUGGAAGUUCAGAAACCUCUGGCUUUGAUCAUGAGUCUUGGAUAUCUUGUGCUUUAAAGCAUGAUGCUUGAAGAGCAUCAAACAUGUCUACAGACACUGCAGAUCAGUUAGAGGUGUUUGUCUGUUGCAUUUGUGGAACCACAAUGGAUAUAUUUCCACCCUGGAGCACAUCACAAUUUUAAAAUGACUUGUAGCAGAGGUGCCACCAACAUACAACCAAAGGACAGUUACAUCUUCUGGCAUGUUAAUUGUGACUGUUGCCAAAGUCACUUUGGGUACGAAAGUGCUGAGGGCUGUCAGUUCCGCCUACAAGUAAUUGGAUCUGGAGCCCAGAUGAUAUACCUAGGGACUUCAGUGAUUUGAUUAAUACCAUUCAGCAGCUUUCCCACUAAUCCGCAUCAAAUCAGCAUCAAUAAACUGGGAAAUUUGAUGCAAGUGGCAUUUAAUGAAAGAUGCCUUUGGCCCUUUGGGAAUUGGAAUACUGCCCAAUUCUGGGCGCCACACUUCGGAGAAAAUGUGAAGGCUUUGGAGAGAGUACAGAAUGGCUGAGAUUGAGUGAUUCCACUCGUCAAGACAGACUGAUGAAGCUGGGGGUUGUUCUCCUUAAGAGCAGAGAAGUCAAAGAGGAGAUUUGACUGCAGUGUUUAAGAUCCUAAAGGGCUUAUGUAGAAUAAAUAAAGAUAAACUGUUUC